AAACAUUAAAAUAAUAAAAAUAAUACUUUAAAUUGUUUAAAAUAUUAUAAUAAUUUUUUCUUUUGUUUCUUCACAGGUUCUGGUGUAGAUUUAUGGCCAAUAAGUGGGAUUUUAAAUAAGGGAUCAUGUUGGCGGCCCUGGGCCUAUAAAAAAAGUACAGAUGACGAUUUCUAAUAUGGCGGAUCGGAGCAGAAUUGAAAAAAAACUAUAUCAAAUUAACCUGAGCAUUAGGGUGGUUCCGGA